rnacentral:rRNA from 1 species
AUUAGAUACCCUAUUAUUUUAAAUGUAAAUGGUUUACUUGAGUAGUAAUAGUUAAGUUCUUGAAACUCAAAGAAUUUGGCGGUGUUUUAGUCUUUUCAGAGGAAUCUGUCCCGUAAUCGAUGAUACACGUUAUAUUCUACUUGACUUUGUUUUCAGUUUGUAUACCGCCGUCGUAAGAUUAUUUUUUUAGAAUGGUAAUUUUCUAAAUUUCAUAUUAGAAUUUAUGUCAGGUCAAGGUGCAGCUUAUGGUUAAGUGAGAGAUGGAUUACAAUAAAAAAAUUUAAAUGGAUCUUGCAUUGAAAAAUGGUGCUUGUGAAGGUGGAUUUGAAGGUAAUGUUGUUAUAUUAUGAUAAUAUGAUUUUAGCUCUAAAACAUGCACACAUC